AAUAAAAGUAGUGCGAGUGGGAAAAGUAAAUAAAAGUAGUGCGAGUGCAGGAAAUAAAUAAUUUAAAGCGAGUGCGGGAAAAUAAAUAAAAGUAAAGCGAGUGCGGGAAAAUAAAUAAAAGUAAAGCGAGUGCGGGAAAAUAAAUAAAGUAAAGCGAGUGCGGGAAAAUAAAUAAAGUAAAGACAAGUGCGGGAAAAUAAA
rnacentral:lncRNA from 1 species